rnacentral:rRNA from 1 species
GAUGAACGCUGGCGGCGUGCUUAACACAUGCAAGUCGAACGGGAAACCUUUUAUUGAAGCUUCGGCAGAUUUAGAUUGUUUCUAGUGGCGGACGGGUGAGUAACGCGUGGGUAACCUGCCUUAUACAGGGGGAUAACAGUCAGAAAUGACUGCUAAUACCGCAUAAGCGCACAGGACCGCAUGGUCCGGUGUGAAAAACUCCGGUGGUAUAAGAUGGACCCGCGUUGGAUUAGCUAGUUGGUGAGGUAACGGCCCACCAAGGCGACGAUCCAUAGCCGGCCUGAGAGGGUGAACGGCCACAUUGGGACUGAGACACGGCCCAGACUCCUACGGGAGGCAGCAGUGGGGAAUAUUGCACAAUGGGGGAAACCCUGAUGCAGCGACGCCGCGUGAAGGAAGAAGUAUCUCGGUAUGUAAACUUCUAUCAGCAGGGAAGAAAAUGACGGU